rnacentral:lncRNA from 10 species
AUCUCGGACUCAGAGUUCAAUCUGCAUUUAGCUGACAAUGAACUGCAAACUCUGAAAAUGUUCACAGCCAUGGAGAAUAAUCUAGAAAUCCUCAGUCCAUUGGGAAACAGUGUGGGUCAGGGAGUGUAACCAACAGCUGGAGGUGAAGCUGGGACCAGUCAGUGAGGUUAACCACACCAGGGAAGAGGAAGAGAAACCAGUCAGGGCCAAAACGGAGCUUUCAUCGAUGUCUGAGGGGGCCUUGUCCAUCCUGUUUGUGGAUUUGGUUGUGUGUGCCUGGGUAUUAAUUUCUUAGGGCCACUGUAACUGCAAACUGGGUGGCGUAAAAUGACAGAAACUCACUAUCUCACAGCUCUGGAGAACAGAAGUCCAAAACUAAGCUGUGGGCUGGGCCGUGCUCCCUUGGAAGGCUUGGGGAGGCUCCUUCCUGCCUCUCCCAGCUUUGGGUGGCUCCGCCCCUCCUUGGCUGGUGGCUGCAGCACUCCAAUCUCUGCCUUCUGCUCUGUCUUCACACGGCCUUCCCUCUGUGUCUCUGUGUCCUCUUCUCCUCUUAUAAGGACAACAGUGAUGAGAUUUGAGGCCUACCCCGCAUGCAGAUAAUCUGAUCUCAAGAUUAUCACCUUAAUUACAUCUGUAAAGACCUUAUUCCUAAAUAAAGUUGCCCUCUGAGUUCUGAGUGGACAUGAAUUUGCAGGGCAGGCUACUCUUCAACCCACUAUGCAUGCACUUCCCUGCUCUGAGGCCCAAAAAAGCCCCAGGCUCAGCCAGAGCAGGACAGAGGACAGAGAGAUGACAGAAAGGAUGGAUGACUAGCUGCAAAGAGGAGCUACCAUCUCUGCUGAUAGCGGCAGACAACAGGAUAACCAGCUGCAGAGAGGAACCGCCCACUCCAGGGCCUCCUCUCUGCUGAGAACUGAACACUCAACAGGACGACCUUCCCACAGAGAGGAGCUACCCACUGUGGGUCUCCUCUGAGCUAUUCUAACACUCAAUAAAACUCCUCUUCAUCUUGUUUACCUUCUACUUGUCUGUGUACCUCAUUCUUCCUGGACACAGGACAAGAACUCGGGCAAAGGUACCACUGGCCACAGAGGUUUCUGGCCAGAAAAGCAACACCCUAAAGAUCCCAUAACAGACCAAGAUGGAGAAAGUGGUACUUACUCAAUCUUUUCUUAGGGGACAUCGUUUAUGAAGCUGGUGGGA